rnacentral:misc_RNA from 1 species
AACACUGUUAACCUGCGGUACCUGCGGAAGGAUCAUUACAGAGUUGCAAAACUCCCUAAACCAUUGUGAACGUUACCUAAACCGUUGCUUCGGCGGGCGGCCCGGGUCCUUCCCGGCGCCCAUCGGCCCUCGCGGGCGCCCGCCGGAGGUAAACCAAACUAUUGCAUUGUAUAGCCUCUCUGAGUCUUCUGUACUGAAUAAGUCAAAACUUUUAACAACGGAUCUCAGAUCGGAAGAGCA